CUCAGCAUUUUAAUUUGAGCUUAUAUAAGUAUCGAAAGUUCGACAAACGAGAAACCCAGUGUCAUCGAGAACAAAUCGUAUCAAUGACAAAAGAAUUAAAUUGACUUCGUCGUAGUUAGGCUAACGAACGAGUGCAAACCAUCUUGCAAUAUUAUUCUGUUAUCUUUUCGAUCUUAACACGCGAUGAUUGUAAAACCAAGUUAAAUCUUUUUUUAUAAUUUUCAGACUUUUUCAGUCAUCUCAGAUGAAUUUCUAGUUAACUUGUUUUUCAUAAUUUUAUCUUGAUUAACAGCCUAAUGGCUUAACAGCCGAUGACAUUGAUUUUCUUUCUUUUAUUCAUCAUUUACUUUAGAUUUAAACGAUUACUUUAAUUUAUCUAGAUCGUACGUAAUCGCGUUAAUAUCAGUGCUCAUUCGUGUAUGUUUUAAGAUUCAAACGUUGAACAAUGUCUAUUUUCGAUAAAACGUUACCAUGUGCUCAUCUAUUAAGAUUAUCGGACAUUUUGUUCGCUCAUCGUACGAUCAUGAUUCGACGUGCUGUACGUAGUUCGCAGGUAUAUGUGUACAUAUACAUAUGCAAUUAAAGCGAAUCCGAAUCUUAUUAAUGAUUUAUCAGCUCAAGAUAUUACGAUUAUUUUUGACAUCGCCCGUCAAAGGUUUUAACAUUUCUUUUCUUGUGUGUUCAAUUGCUGAAUUGCGGUCAGAAUAAAUUUUGAAUUAAUCUAUCUAAACUGAUUUAAAUUUAAUCAAAACCAUGAUUAACUCGCCUUCAUGAAAUCUGAUCGCACCAUGCACGAAGCCAAGAUCUGAUUCCGUGCUAAAUUAAAUACAUUUUAUUGUUAAUUCGUGUUUUAUUCUUGCUUUAUAUUUCUUUUAAAAAAAAUAUGCGUUUAAGCAUUUAAGAUGAUGCUUGAUGCUUUCCCGUGAAUAAACGGCAAAACGCACAUGCGAGAGAAAGAACGGUUAUAAACUUAUUAUCCUGAAUCGACACUUACAUGAUGCACAAUCAUCGGUGUUGAUUAUGCAAUCCCGGCCUUCGUAGCCUUUAGCACAGACGCAUUGAUAAGAUCCAUUAGUGUUCCUGCAAGUGGCACCAUUUCGACACGGGGACGUCAUAAUGCAUUCGUCGACAUCUUCGUCACAUAAUCUGCCAGUGUAACCUACUGUACAAGUACAGGCAAAGUCGAGAAAGUUGGACGAAGGACUUACUUGUUAGGUGAGCAAGGGUCCAACUUGUCCUCGCAGUUUCUACCGGUAUGAGGUAACUCGCAAACGCAUUUAUAAUCGUUUACAAGAUCGAUGCAAGAUCCACCAUUUUGACAUGGAUUGUUAGCGCAAUCGUCGACGUUGGUUUCACAAUUUGUACCAGCGUAACCGGGUAAACACUUGCAACUAUAACCAUUGAGAUGAUCGUUACAAGUGCCACCGUGUUGGCAAGGAUUUGAGCCACAUUCGUCGAUGUCAGCUUCACAUCUUUUGCCACCAUAACCAGGAUGCACCAGUGAAUCCUGGUGGACAUUCGCACGUAUACUUUGCUAUCGAAUCCUGACACGUUCCACCGUUCUUGCAUGGCGAUGAGGCGCAAUCGUCGAUGUUGAUUUGGCAGUGUGAACCAGCAAAACCAUCGGCACAGGUACACUUGAAUGAGUUUAUGAGAUCGGUGCAAAUUCCGUUGUUCAGGCAAGGCUUUGCAGCGCAUUCGUCGAUAUCUAUCUCGCAUUGGGUUCCCGUGAAACCUGAAAGAUAUAAAAACAAAAUAUUUCAAUAAUUGAUCCUUAUAUUUUCUUAAUUUUUUUUUUUUCUUAAUAUGUUCUCUAUAUUAUUUUGUUAAAUAAAGAUGAAAAUAAAAAAUCAUGUCGAUCUGAUUAAAUUGAAUGCAUUGCUAUUAUAUUUUCUAUUAAUUCAUAAAUAUUGAUAAAGAAAAAACGAAUGAUGAAGAACAAAGACGAAUAAGUUCUUUUAAUUACGAAUUUAAUGCAUAUACGUAUUAAGAUAUGUAAUUAAUUUAUUCAUUAAAAAUGAAUAAAUUGUUACUGAGAGACCCUAAACGUUUGUUGCUAAUCCUUCCAUUUUUCUCACUUUUUAUCUCUU